UUUUAUGGAGAGUUUGAUCCUGGCUCAGGACGAACGCUGGCGGCGUGCUUAACACAUGCAAGUCGAACGGUAAGGCCCUUCGGGGUACACGAGUGGCGAACGGGUGAGUAACACGUGGGUGACCUG
rnacentral:rRNA from 1 species